rnacentral:rRNA from 1 species
ACUAGUUGCCAACACGUAAUGGUGGGAACUCUAGUGAGACUGCCUGGGUUAACCAGGAGGAAGGUGAGGAUGACGUCAAGUCCGCAUGGCCCUUAUGACUGGGGCUACACACGUGCUACAAUGGUCGGUACAGUGGGCAGCUGAAGCCGUGAGGUGAAGCAAAUCCCCCAAAGCCGAUCUCAGUUCAGAUUGUAGUCUGCAACUCGACUACAUGAAGACGGAAUUGCUAGUAAUGGCGAGUCAGCAACAUCGCCGUGAAUACGUUCCCGGGUCUUGUACACACCGCCCGUCACAUCAUGGGAGUUGGUUUCACCCGAAGCCGCUGGCUCAACCGCAAGGAGAGAGGCGUCUAAGGUGAGGCUGAUGACUGGGAUGAAGUCGUAACAAGGUAGCCCUACCGGAAGGUGGGGCUGGAUCACCUCCUUUAAAGGACAGACUGAGUUACUAGAUAACUCGUCGAUGGUUGGUCAAACUUACUCUGCAAGCACAUUG